rnacentral:rRNA from 1 species
GUCCACGCGGUAAACGAUGAGCACUAGGUGUCGCGGGUAUUGACCCCUGCGGUGCCGCAGCUAACGCAUUAAGUGCUCCGCCUGGGGACUACGGUCGCAAGAUUAAAACUCAAAGGAAUUGACGGGGGCCCGCACAAGCGGUGGAGCAUGUGGUUCAAUUCGACGCAACGCGAAGAACCUUACCUGGGCUAGACAACGGAGUACCGCCUCAGAGAUGAGGUCUUCCCUUCGGGGACCUCCGGUUCAGGUGCUGCAUGGCUGUCGU